rnacentral:rRNA from 1 species
CACGUAGGGGCCGAGCGUUGUCCGGAUUCAUUGGGCGUAAAGCGCGCGUAGGCGGCUCGGAAAGUCGGUCGUGAAAUGCCGGGGCUCAACCCCGGGACUGCGUCCGAUACUUCCGGGCUGGAGGUAGGUAGGGGAGAUCGGAAUUCCUGGUGUAGCGGUGAAAUGCGCAGAUAUCAGGAGGAACACCGGUGGCGAAGGCGGAUCUCUGGGCCGUACCUGACGCUGAGGCGCGAAAGCUAGGGGAGCGAACAGG